rnacentral:misc_RNA from 1 species
GAUGAAGAACGUAGCGAAAUGCGAUAAGUAGUGUGAAUUGCAGAAUUCAGUGAAUCAUCGAAUCUUUGAACGCACAUUGCACCUCUCGGUAUUCCGGGAGGUAUGCCUGUUCGAGCGUCAUUUGUACCCUCAAGCUCUGCUUGGCGUUGGGUGUUUGUUCCGCCUCUGUGUGUGAACUCGCCUCAAAACAAUUGGCAGCCGGCGUACUUGUUUCGGAGCGCAGCACAUUUUGCGAUCCAGAUCAACGUACAGCGGCAUCCAAGAAGCCUUAUUUAACGCUCUUGACCUCGGAUCAGGUAGGGAUACCCGCUGAACUUAAGCAUAUCAAUAAGCGGAGGA